rnacentral:rRNA from 1 species
GUAGGUGGCAAGCGUUGUCCGGAAUUAUUGGGCGUAAAGCGCGCGCAGGCGGUUCUUUAAGUCUGAUGUGAAAGCCCACGGCUCAACCGUGGAGGGUCAUUGGAAACUGGAGAACUUGAGUACAGAAGAGGAAAGCGGAAUUCCACGUGUAGCGGUGAAAUGCGUAGAGAUGUGGAGGAACACCAGUGGCGAAGGCGGCUUUCUGGUCUGUAACUGACGCUGAGGCGCGAAAGCGUGGGGAGCAAACAGGAUUAGAUACCCUGGUAGCCCACGCCGUAAACGAUGAGUGCUAAGUGUUAGGGGGUUUCCGCCCCCCUUAGUGCUGCAGCUAACGCAUUAAGCACUCCGCCUGGGAGUACGGCCGCAAGGCUG